ACUACGGGACGCAGCAGUGGGGAAUAUUGCACAAUGGGGGAAACCCUGAUGCAGCGACGCCGCGUGAGUGAAGAAGUAAUUCGUUAUGUAAAGCUCUAUCAGCAGGGAAGAAAAUGACGGUACCUGAGUAAGAAGCCCCGGCUAACUACGUGCCAGCAGCCGCGGUAAUACGUAGGGGGCAAGCGUUAUCCGGAUUUACUGGGUGGAAAGGGAGCGUAGACGGCAGUGCAAGUCUGGAGUGAAAGGCGGGGGCUCAACCACCGGACUGCUCUGGAAACUGGACGGCUGGCGUGCAGGUGAGGUAG
rnacentral:rRNA from 1 species